rnacentral:rRNA from 1 species
GAGUUUGAUCCUGGCUCAGAUUGAACGCUGGCGGCAUGCCUUACACAUGCAAGUCGAACGGUAACAGGUCUUCGGAUGCUGACGAGUGGCGAACGGGUGAGUAAUACAUCGGAACGUGCCCGAUCGUGGGGGAUAACGCAGCGAAAGCUGUGCUAAUACCGCAUACGAUCUACGGAUGAAAGCGGGGGAUCGCAAGACCUCGCGCGAUUGGAGCGGCCGAUAUCAGAUUAGCUAGUUGGUGGGGUAAAGGCCCACCAAGGCGACGAUCUGUAGCUGGUCUGAGAGGACGACCAGCCACACUGGAACUGAGACACGGUCCAGACUCCUACGGGAGGCAGCAGUGGGGAAUUUUGGACAAUGGGCGCAAGCCUGAUCCAGCAAUGCCGCGUGCAGGAUGAAGGCCUUCGGGUUGUAAACUGCUUUUGUACGGAACGAAACGGUCCUUUCUAAUACAGGGGGCUAAUGACGGUACCGUAAGAAUAAGCACCGGCUAACUACGUGCCAGCAGCCGCGGUAAUACGUAGGGUGCGAGCGUUAAUCGGAAUUACUGGGCGUAAAGCGUGCGCAGGCGGUUAUGUAAGACAGAUGUGAAAUCCCCGGGCUCAACCUGGGACCUGCAUUUGUGACUGCAUAGCUAGAGUACGGUAGAGGGGGAUGGAAUUCCGCGUGUAGCAGUGAAAUGCGUAGAUAUGCGGAGGAACACCGAUGGCGAAGGCAAUCCCCUGGACCUGUACUGACGCUCAUGCACGAAAGCGUGGGGAGCWAACAGGAUUAGAUACCCUGGUA